rnacentral:rRNA from 1 species
UACAGAGGGUGCAAGCGUUUGUUCGGAAUUAUUGGGCGUAAAGCGCGUGUAGGCGGCUUUGCAAGUCGGGUGUGAAAAGCCCUCAGCUCAACUGAGGAAGUGCGCCCCGAAACUGCAGAGCUUGAGUACCGGAGAGGGUGGCGGAAUUCCCCAAGUAGAGGUGAAAUUCGUAGAUAUGGGGAGGAACACCGGUGGCGAAGGCGGCCACCUGGACGGUCACUGACGCUGAGACGCGAAAGCGUGGGGAGCAAACAGG